rnacentral:rRNA from 1 species
UACGAAGGGGGCUAGCGUUGCUCGGAAUGACUGGGCGUAAAGGGCGCGUAGGCGGCACACAUAGUCAGGCGUGAAAUUCCUGGGCUUAACCUGGGGGCUGCGUUUGAUACAUGUGAGCUAGAGGAUGGAAGAGGCUCGUGGAAUUCCCAGUGUAGAGGUGAAAUUCGUAGAUAUUGGGAAGAACACCAGUGGCGAAGGCGGCGCCUGGGCCAAUAUUGACGCUGAGGUGCGGAAAGCGUGGGGAGCGAACAGG